rnacentral:rRNA from 1 species
AACGAACGCUGGCGGCACGCCUCAUACAUGCAAGUCGAGCGCGAAACCACCUUCGGGUGAUGUAGAGCGGCGAACGGGUGAGUAACAGGUGGGUAAUCUGCCCUUUGGCGGAGGACAACAGCUGGAAACGGCUGCUAAUACCGCAUGUGAUUGUGGACUUAUGGUCUGCAAGGAAAGGCGCCUCAAAGCGCCACCAAAGGAUGAGCCCGCCCCCCAUUAGCUAGUUGGUGAGAUAACAGCUCACCAAGGCAUCGAUGGGUAGCCGAGCUGAGAGGUUGAUCGGCCACACUGGAACUGAGACACGGUCCAGACACCUACGGGUGGCAGCAGUAGGGAAUAUUGCGCAAUGGGCGAAAGCCUGACGCAGCGAUGCCGCGUGAGUGACGAAGGUCUUAGGAUUGUAAAGCUCUUUUCUGAGGGAAGAAUAGGUCUGGUAGGAAAUGACUGGAUUCUGACGGUACCUCAGGAAUAAGGAACGGUA